AGGAGUUGAUGCUUAGGAUCCUUAGAUAGCAGUUUGAGUUGCACCUGUUGCCCAUGUGCUAAUCAAACCCAUGUGACCGGGGAGGAGAGGACUCAGGUGCAGCUUAUAAGGCUUUGGGGUAGCCUUUGCUCCUGUUUGCUGGUGGAAUACAGUAGUGUUUUGUCCAAGCUCUGUUUUUGUGUGGAGGAGUUGAUGCUUAGGAUCCUUAGAUAGCAGUUUGAGUUGCACCUGUUGCCCAUGUGCUAAUCAAACCCAUGUGACCGGGGAGGAGAGGACUCAGGUGCAGCUUAUAAGGCUUUGGGGUAGCCUUUGCUCCUGUUUGCUGGUGGAAUACAGUAGUGUUUUGUCCAAGCUCUGUUUUUGGUAA